AGCGAACGCUGGCGGCAGGCCUAAUACAUGCAAGUCGAGCGGUCACUUCGGUGGCAGCGGCGGACGGGUGAGUAACGCGUGGGAACGUGCCCUUUGGUUCGGAACAACACAGGGAAACUUGUGCUAAUACCGAAUGUGCCCUUCGGGGGAAAGAUUUAUCGCCAUUGGAGCGGCCCGCGUUGGAUUAGCUAGUUGGUGGGGUAAAGGCCCACCAAGGCGACGAUCCAUAGCUGGUCUGAGAGGAUGAUCAGCCACACUGGGACUGAGACACGGCCCAGACUCCUACGGGAGGCAGCAGUAGGGAAUCUUGCGCAAUGGGCGAAAGCCUGACGCAGCCAUGCCACGUGAAUGAUGAAGGUCUUAGGAUUGUAAAAUUCUUUCACCGGGGAAGAUAAUGACGGUACCCGGAGAAGAAGCCCCGGCUAACUUCGUGCCAGCCGCCGCGGUAACAC
rnacentral:rRNA from 1 species